rnacentral:rRNA from 1 species
UACGUAGGGUGCAAGCAUUAAUCGGAAUUAUUGGGCGUAUAGGGCGCGUAGGCGGAUCUAUAAGUCGGUUGUGAAAUCCUAGGGCUCAACCUUAGAAUAGCACCCGAAACUAUAGAUCUAGAGGGUAGGCGGAGAAAACGGAAUUCCACAAGUAGCGGUGAAAUGCGUAGAUAUCUGGAGGAACACCGGUGGCGAAGGCGGCAUCCUGGACCGGUAUUGACGCUGAGGCGCGAAAGCCAGGGGAGCAAACGGG